rnacentral:lncRNA from 1 species
GAAUUCUACAAAGAGGCUAUGGGAAAGAAACCUGGAAAGUACCCUUGGCUGUGUACAUUUGAGUAAAGAGAGCACUAUAAAAUCAAAAACCAAUGAAAUGGUUUCCAGAACACAGAACUAUUAAGCUUAAGAAAAGGACAGAAGGAACUGAAGAGAGAGGAACUGUUUUGGAGCAUCACACUUCCACCUCAGAAGAAAUAAGGAAGGAAGGAGGAGGGUGUUCCCACGGCUCUUCAACCAGGCCGGCUCUUCAGCCUACAUCCCCAUCUCAUCAAGUAAAAGGGAUUUUUCAACUGGACCAACCAGAUGGUUUAACAGUGCACUCCCACACCAUUCAACUACGCAAGGGAGAUACACUUAACAUAUGCAGUCGUAUAACACCUACUAACAUUUUCAAACAUUAAACCUUUAAAAAAGAGUUCUAAAGAAAUAGAAGCUUGAAGUAUCAUCUCUCAAGUAUAUAGACACUACUUCAUGGUGUGGUAAUAUAUGCAUAUAGAAGCUAGUAAACACCUCCAGGAGAUGCAAAAGGAAUUAGAACUGCCACAAGGUGCAAGCAAAACCUUGAGCUUCUUUAAAAUAUGAAGACUUCGAAGUUAUUUAUCCAAACCAACCUGAUCAUUUCUUAAGAGUGAAUAUACCUUGGAAGACGUGUCCUGCCUUUAGUAGCGUCACAAUGGAUUACAUCCUCUAUAAAGCAGUCUGGGGUGAGAAAAUCGAAUUUGGACACCGUUGAGGAGACUAUUGCAGUCAUCCAAGCUCAAGAUGGUGGAGCUUCAUCCUUGAGAAUAACCAAUGGGGAUAGAUUUAAGAGACACUUAGAGUCUGCAGCCAACAGGGCUGAAUGAGCAGAGAGUUAUGAUUCAGAAGAUCAUCUAAAAUUGAACAGCUGCCACUACUGGCAAUAAGUCUACUGCCAUUUGGUAGAUAACCUUCUUAUCACACAGAAAAAUAUCAGUACAGACAAAUAGACCGCAAAGAAAAUGAGACCAUCAGCAAAGAAGAUAAAGAAGUUUGUACAAAGCAACUUUUUAUAAAUGGAUGGCUGUCAGGCAAAAAUAAAUUUCCUGUGGACAAGACCAAGAGCAAGAUAUACCCGGCUUUUAAAAUUGAAAACCAUAGCCUAGAAUUCUGAUUGAAUAUGCAUAACAAGAUGGGAGCAUAAGAAGAAAAUUUUUAUUGAUCUUUAAAAUAUAAACCAAAUGACUCUCACUACUGAUUUUAGACUUGUGAAUUAAAACAGGGGUCCAUGAACUAUGCGUAGAGGGUCAAAUCUGGCCCACUGCCUGGUUAUAUAAAUAAAGUGUUGUUGAAACACA